rnacentral:rRNA from 1 species
GUUUACCAAAAACAUGGCUUCUUGUUCUAAAAUAAAUAAGGAGUCGGACCUGCCCAGUGAAUUUUUUUUUAACGGCCGCGGUACUCUGACCGUGCAAAGGUAGCAUAAUCAUUUGCCUUAUAAUUAAAGGCUAGUAUGAAUGGUUUGACAAGAAUAUAGCUGUCUCUUUAUAAUUUCAUAGAAUUUUAUUUUAAGGUGAAGAAGCUUUAAUUCAAUUAAAAGACAAGAAGACCCUAUCGAGCUUGAAAAAAAUUUUUAGAAACUAAUUAAUAAAAGACCUUAAAAAAUUGGCUAAAGAACAUUUUAGUUGGGGCGACUGAGGAACAAACAAAGCUUCCUCUUACAAGAAUUACAUUCAGGUAUUGACCCAAAAUAUUUGAUCAAAGGAAUUAGUUACCGUAGGGAUAACAGCAUUAUCUUUUUUAAGAGCUCUUAUCGAAAAAAAGGUUUGUGACCUCGAUGUUGGACCAGAAUAUCCUAAAGAUGCAGAAGUCUUUAAGGGUUGGUCUGUUCGACCAUUAAA